rnacentral:rRNA from 1 species
AUGAACGCUGGCGGCGUGCCUAAUACAUGCCCGUCGAGCGAACGGACGAGAAGCUUGCUUCUCUGAUGUUAGCGGCGGACGGGUGAGUAACACGUGGAUAACCUACCUAUAAGACUGGGAUAACUUCGGGAAACCGGAGCUAAUACCGGAUAAUAUUUUGAACCGCAUGGUUCAAAAGUGAAAGACGGUCUUGCUGUCACUUAUAGAUGGAUCCGCGCUGCAUUAGCUAGUUGGUAAGGUAACGGCUUACCAAGGCAACGAUGCAUAGCCGACCUGAGAGUGUGAUCGGCCACACUGGAACUGAGACACGGUCCAGACUCCUACGGGAGGCAGCAGUAGGGAAUCUUCCGCAAUGGGCGAAAGCCUGACGGAGCAACGCCGCGUGAGUGAUGAAGGUCUUCGGAUCGUAAAACUCUGUUAUUAGGGAAGAACAUAUGUGUAAGUAACUGUGCACAUCUUGACGGUACCUAAUCAGAAAGCCACGGCUAACUACGUG